rnacentral:rRNA from 1 species
UGGGGAAUUUUCCGCAAUGGGCGAAAGCCUGACGGAGCAAUACCGCGUGAGGGAAGACGGCCUAUGGGUUGUAAACCUCUUUUCUCAGGGAGGAACUCAAUGACGUGUACCUGAGGAAUAAGCAUCGGCUAACUCC